rnacentral:miRNA from 1 species
GAUAGAAGAUUGCCGCUCGUUU